UCCUAGCCCUGAUAGCAGUGAAAAUCCUUUUAUAAAGCCGUAAGCCCAUCAAGGCUUACGGCUUAUAAAAGAUUGUAACGAAUAGCAGGAAAUAGC
rnacentral:sRNA from 1 species